rnacentral:rRNA from 1 species
AGCGAACGUUAGCGGCAGGCUUAACACAUGCAAGUCGAGCGAGAAAAGGGCUUCGGCUCUGAGUAAAGCGGCGGACGGGUGCGUAACACGUGGGUAAUGUGCCCUUGAGCGGGGGACAACAGUCCGAAAGGACUGCUAAUACCGCAUACGUCGGCGAGUACUUAGGUAUUUGCCGGGAAAGGUGGCCUCUUCAUGAACGCUACCACUCAAGGAGCAGCCCGCGGCCCAUCAGCAGUUGGCGGGGUAAUGGCCCACCAAGGCUAAGACGGGUAGCUGGUCUGAGAGGAUGAUCAGCCACACUGGAACUGAGACACGGUCCAGACUCCUACGGGAGGCAGCAGUGGGGAAUAUUGGGCAAUGGGCGCAAGCCCUGACCCAGCCAUGCCGCGUGAGUGAUGAAGGCCCUUC